rnacentral:rRNA from 1 species
CCUACGGGUGGCAGCAGUGGGGAAUAUUGCACAAUGGGGGAAACCCUGAUGCAGCGACGCCGCGUAAGUGAAGACGUAAUUCGUUAUGUUAAGCUCUAUCAGCAGGGAAGAAAAUGACGGUACCUGAGUAAGAAGCCCCGUCUCACUACGUGCCAGCAGCCGCGGUAAUACGUAGGGGGCAAGCGUUAUCCGGAUUUUCUGGGUGUAAAGGGAGCGUAGACGGCAGUGCAAGUCUGGAGUGAAAGGCGGGGGCUCAACCCCCGGACUGCUCUGGAAACUGUACGGCUGGAGUGCAGGAGAGGUAAGUGGAAUUCCUAGUGUAGCGGUGAAAUGCGUAGAUAUUAGGCGGAACACCAGUGGCGAAGGCAGCUUACUGGCCUGUAACUGACGUUGAGGCUCGAAAGCGUGGGGAGCGAACAGGAUUAGAUACCCCGGUAGUC